UUGAACGCUGGCGGCAUGCUUUACACAUGCAAGUCGAACGGUAACAGGCUGCUUGCAGCGCUGACGAGUGGCGAACGGGUGAGUAAUACAUCGGAAUGUACCCAGUAAUGGGGGAUAACGCAGCGAAAGUUGUGCUAAUACCGCAUACGCCCUGAGGGGGAAAGUGGGGGACCGCAAGGCCUCACGUUAUUGGAGCAGCCGAUGGCUGAUUAGCUAGUUGGUAGGGUAAAGGCCUACCAAGGCAACGAUCAGUAGCGGGUCUUAGAGGACGAUCCGCCACACUGGAACUGAGACACGGUCCAGACUCCUACGGGAGGCAGCAGUGGGGAAUCUUGGACAAUGGGCGCAAGCCUGAUCCAGCAAUGCCGCGUGCGUGAAGAAGGCCUUCGGGUUGUAAAGCGCUUUUGUCGGGGAGGAAAUCCUAGUGGUUAAUAACUGCUGGGGAUGACAGUACCCGAAGAAUCAGGACCGGCUAACUACGU
rnacentral:rRNA from 1 species